rfam:Schistosoma haematobium scaffold472_16, whole genome shotgun sequence.
AUGUUAGUGAAGAGUCCCAAAUAGGACAAAACACGCGUCCUAGAU